UACGAAGGGGGCUAGCGUUGUUCGGAAUUACUGGGCGUAAAGGGCGCGUAGGCGGUACUUCAAGUCAGGCGUGAAAGCCCCGGGCUCAACCUGGGAACCGCGCUUGAGACUGGAGAACUAGAGUUCGGGAGAGGAUGGUGGAAUUCCCAGUGUAGAGGUGAAAUUCGUAGAUAUUGGGAAGAACACCGAUGGCGAAGGCAGCGAGCUGGACCGACACUGACGCUGAGGCGCGA
rnacentral:rRNA from 1 species